GGACAAAGCAUGAGUACCAUCUGUCUCCACUAGAGGGUGCUCCUGAGUCUUCUUCCUUACUCCCACCAGAUCCAUUUUUAGGCUGUCAGACACAUUAUAUACUAUAGGGCUUCAUGAUCCUUUUAUUAUCUGAGCUACAUUCUUCAUUAUUUUUUUUUUACAUACUUCAGUAAGUUACCUCUAGGCCAGGGCUCUCUAACCCUGUUCCUGGAGAGAUACCGUCCUAUAGGUGUUCAAUCUAACCCUGUUCCUGGAGAGAUACCGUCCUGUAGGUGUUCAAUCCAACCCUGUUCCUGGAGAGAUACCGUCCUGUAGGUGUUCAAUCUAACCCUGUUCCUGGAGAGAUACCGUCCUAUAGGUGUUCAAUCUAACCCUGUUCCUGGAGAGAUACCGUCCUGUAGGUGUUCAAUCCAACCCUGUUCCUGGAGAGAUACCGUCCUAUAGGUGUUCAAUCUAACCCUGUUCCUGGAGAGAUACCGUCCUGUAGGUGUUCAAUCCAACCCUGUUCCUGGAGAGAUACCGUCCUGUAGGUGUUCAAUCCAACCCUGUUCCUGGAGAGAUACCGUCCUAUAGGUGUUCAAUCCAACCCUGUUCCUGGAGAGAUACCGUCCUGUAGGUGUUCAAUCUAACCCUGUUCCUGGAGAGAUACCGUCCUGUAGGUGUUCAAUCCAACCCUGUUCCUGGAGAGAUACCGUCCUGUAGGUGUUCAAUCUAACCCUGUUCCUGGAGAGAUACCGUCCUGUAGGUCUUCAAUCCAACCCUGUUCCUGGAGAGAUACCGUCCUGUAGGUGUUCAAUCUAACCCUGUUCCUGGAGAGAUACCGUCCUGUAGGUGUUCAAUCCAACCCUGUUCCUGGAGAGAUACCGUCCUGUAGGUGUUCAAUCUAACCCUGUUCCUGGAGAGAUACCGUCCUGUAGGUGUUCAAUCUAACCCUGUUCCUGGAGAGAUACCGUCCUGUAGGUGUUCAAUCCAACCCUGUUCCUGGAGAGAUACCGUCCUGUAGGUGUUCAAUCUAACCCUGUUCCUGGAGAGAUACCGUCCUGUAGGUGUUCAAUCCAACCCUGUUCCUGGAGAGAUACCGUCCUGUAGGUGUUCAAUCCAACCCUGUUCCUGGAGAGAUACCGUCCUAUAGGUGUUCAAUCUAACCCUGUUCCUGGAGAGAUACCGUCCUGUAGGUGUUCAAUCCAACCCUGUUCCUGGAGAGAUACCGUCCUGUAGGUGUUCAAUCCAACCCUGUUCCUGGAGAGACACCGUCCUGUAGGUGUUCAAUCUAACCCUGUUCCUGGAGAGAUACCGUCCUGUAGGUGUUCAAUCCAACCCUGUUCCUGGAGAGAUACCGUCCUGUAGGUGUUCAAUCCAACCCUGUUCCUGGAGAGAUACCGUCCUGUAGGUGUUCAAUCUAACCCUGUUCCUGGAGAGAUACCGUCCUGUAGGUCUUCAAUCCAACCCUGUUCCUGGAGAGAUACCGUCCUGUAGGUGUUCAAUCUAACCCUGUUCCUGGAGAGAUACCGUCCUGUAGGUGUUCAAUCCAACCCUGUUCCUGGAGAGAUACCGUCCUGUAGGUGUUCAAUCUAACCCUGUUCCUGGAGAGAUACCGUCCUGUAGGUGUUCAAUCCAACCCUGUUCCUGGAGAGAUACCGUCCUGUAGGUGUUCAAUCCAACCCUGUUCCAGGAGAGAUACCGUCCUGUAGGUGUUCAAUCCAACCCUGUUCCUGGAGAGAUACCGUCCUAUAGGUGUUCAAUCCAACCCUGUUCCUGGAGAGAUACCGUCCUGUAGGUGUUCAAUCCAACCCUGUUCCUGGAGAGACACCGUCCUGUAGGUGUUCAAUCCAACCCUGUUCCUGGAGAGAUACCGUCCUGUAGGUUUUCAAUCCAACCCUGUUCCUGGAGAGACACCGUCCUGUAGGUGUUCAAUCUAACCCUGUUCCUGGAGAGAUACCGUCCUGUAGGUGUUCAAUCCAACCCUGUUCCUGGAGAGAUACCGUCCUGUAGGUGUUCAAUCCAACCCUGUUCCUGGAGAGAUACCGUCCUGUAGGUGUUCAAUCCAACCCUGUUCCUGGAGAGAUACCGUCCUGUAGGUGUUCAAUCCAACCCUGUUCCUGGAGAGAUACCGUCCUAUAGGUGUUCAAUCCAACCCUGUUCCUGGAGAGAUACCGUCCUGUAGGUGUUCAAUCUAACCCUGUUCCUGGAGAGAUACCGUCCUGUAGGUGUUUAAUCCAACCCUGUUCCUGGAGAG